rnacentral:tRNA from 1 species
AUUUUAUUAACUAUUUUGGCAGAUGAAUGCGGUAAAUUUAGAAUUUAUAAAUGUAAUUUUUAUUACAAAUAGUA